rnacentral:lncRNA from 1 species
CUCCUGUAACUUACAGCUUCUCAUUUCUUAAGAGCGGCAACAAGGAUCUCAAGCUCGUAGCAGUUGCAGCAGCUUCUCUGGUGUGCAUCACUGUGCUUGCUAUUGGAAAAGCUUACACCCAAAAGGCAUCCGGUUUUUUUGGGUACAUCAAAACCGUGUCGUCUUUUGUUAUUCCCGGGUUUAUGGCAUCAGGAGUGUCUUACGUAGUUGGUGAUCUAAUCAAGAAGCUCUUGGAGAAGCUGGGUUUGUUUGAGUCAAGUUCAGCUUUCACCCUGUCCCUUCCUGGGACUGCAACACCAGAAUCCGGAUGGGGAUUCUAUUGAGGAGUGCUGCAAGUUGACUGUUAAAUCUAGAGGAUCCAACCAAUAAAUUAAUGAUUGGGACUGAUGGUAGUUUCUUCUCAGUUUCCACCUACUUUUAGCUUGGCUUAUUGUAAGACAUAUUUGCCUUGCGAUAUUGGUAUCGGUAGUAUUGCUUUAGCUUUUUUAUGUCUACAUUUUAUUAGCUUUUGAUUAUUUGUUUAGAGGACGAGAAAGAUGAGCAACCCUGGAUGCUAGUGAUUUAGUUUUUGCUGAAAAUUUUCUAUUUCUCUUUCAACUCUUCAAUUUCAUGUGCUAAAACACUGGAUGAUCUUGGUUCCUUGAUGCUUAAAACCUACAUAAGGUGAAUGCCAUAUCCACAACAUUAUUGUUAAUUGGUGGUUUAAUUACAACUCAAUACGGAAUUUGUUCUUUCUAGUUUGUGGCAAAGAUAUUAGGAAGUUCAAAUUUACAAGAUGGAGUUGUAAACCAAGGGACUAAUAGUAUAAAGGAAAAAGAGAGAAGAGAAACCAUACUGUAUUUGACAGAUCCAUUGGGGAAAACUCUUACGAAUAAAAUUGAGCAAGAUGGAUUAGUUUUUGCUUGUCAAAAGCAACAAAGGAAUCACUAGGAUUUAAGCAAACCACACAAAUAAUCAACUCAGUGUUUACCUUAAUGAAACAACUAUUAAGCUCUUGAAGUUGCAUAUCUAUAAUAGCAUAGAAUAACUCGACUUAAUAAUAAUAAAAAAUUUUAAUUUCAUGAGCUUUACAUCAUGGUUGCCCUCGAGUUAGAAAUGUAUCAUCCAUGUUUGGAAUAUCAAUAUUAUGUUUUCCACAAAACCAAAAAACUUGAUCAAAUAAAAAACCCCAAUCACUUUCUCUCAUCAUUUACGAUUAUUGCUAACAUACUUUAACCAAAGUCAUGACAUUAACAAUGUUUUGAUUUUUCCUCUAUAAUGCUUGUGACAAUUCACUUGUGAUUCCCAAUAUACCUCUCAUCAAAUGUAAACUGAGGGCAAAGUUAAAUGAUUGCAUCAACUCUAACAAGUUAGUUGUUUCAUAUCUUUGCUUGAAAUUUGAAAUAUCCUCCAUAAUAAUCUCAAGUACUUCGAUUAAAGAAGAGAACAUGUUAAUUAAUCUGAGUAAAUUAAGUACCAUACUAUAAGCCCCAGUAUGGAAGCACAUUUAAGAGUGGUUUCCUGGUUUAACCCUUGCCCACUACAAAGAUCGUCAUGAUUAAGUGAUUCAACUUCUAUAGCUUCCUUAUUAUGAAGGAUAUCACAAUGUUUAAAUGAGGCACCAACAACAUUAACCACAUUAACAACUAGAUUGAAUAAAAAGAAAAUUUGAAUAUGAUUCUUUGUCACAGUCACAAGAGCUAAUUGAAGUUGAUGAGUCAAACAAUGAACAUCAAAGGCACAUUUGUUCUCUUUUAUAGUAAGUGUUUUAAGACCAUUGAACACCCCAUUGCAUAUUACUUGCCCCAUCAUAACCUUGUCCAUGAAACCUACACACACUUAAUCUAUGCCUAGAAAAUAAACCAUCAAUAGUUGCCUUAAGUGAAAGAACAUUAGUUCUAGUAGCAUGCUCAAUACCAAUAAAACACUCAAUUAUAUACCCUUUUAUCCACAUAACGCAAUACAAUGUCCAUUUGCUUCUUUCUUGAGUGGUCAUGGGAUUCAUUAACUAAAAGAGAGAAAAGUAAAUCUCCUAGCUGGAUCUCUAAUAAUAAUAUUAAUGGUUUCAAUUGCAGUAGCUCUAUGGCACGACCUCUUGUUUUUCAUGAAUGUGUCUCCCUUUCUGCUUAUGUGAGUUUAACCCGCCUUUGACUUUGCUUACUUCUAACUCCCUAUGAGCCAUUUUGUGACCUGACUUUUUCGAAGGGUUUGCGGGACAUGGGAGCCUUAGCUCAUGCAUUGGUUUACCGAAAUCACUUCCGCUAUCCCACUUCUUUCCAUUCAAAAGGCGAGCAACUCUUAAACUAAAAGGCCUAAGAAGGCUUUUCUUUAUAUACUACAUAAGCCCUAAAGUAGGUAACCCCAAAAGCCAAAACUCAGCAACUUUACUUUUUAGGUUUUGGCUUGUCCCAUUCAAUUUUUUAGUAAGAUAGCCCAAUGUCUUUUUGAAUUUCAUGUGCCAUUAAUUUAAGAUUUUUAGGAGCACUUUUCAAAGUAACUGCUUUAAUAUCCUCAUUAUGAUCAACAAGGAAUUUCAAAAGUUCCAAAAGGUUUCCUUGGUUACUAGAAUCUUCAUAUUUAUCAUGACCACGAAAUGCAAUCCCUUGUCUUAAAAGAAACCGAACACAAUCAGCAGAUGCAGUCAAGUGAAUUCCAUACUAACUUUGUGUUUGGUUUAAUUGUUUGGAGAAAUUGUUUCAAUAUGUCCCUUUGGUUUAGUAAGGCUUCACAUUUACUUCAAGCAUGAUUAUGGGCAAUAAAAGGGCCUUCAACAUGAAUAUUGAGUUUUUCUUUCUUUUUCCAAUUUGAGAACUCUUCACUAACAAAGGAAUCACCGCUUGCUUGUUCUCUAAUAUCCAGUUUGAAUCAUAAACAAAAUACAACAUAAACAAAAUACAACAUCUUCUACUAUGCUAUAUUAUAACCAAUUAGCAUAUUCACUAAACCAAGUAGGAUUGAAUCAUCGUAAUGUUUCCCAAAUUUUUUUAAAGAAGAAGUUAUAUUUUAACAAGGACCCUUUUCAAAUAUGCUCUUCGAAACUUGAUCUCAAACAUUAGGAUUGUAAUCCAAUAUCUAUAUUCAUAACCCAAGAUCUACAAGAAGAUCCUCUAAGUUGAUUUCAAUUCAACUUUGUUUUAAAUCUCCACUAUUUCUUUUGGAAGGGCCAACAAUUCGAAUUAUGAUUUUCUUUUAAAGUAUUUCUUCAUAACCGUUCAAGAUUUGAUUUAUAUAUAAUUAAUGAUAUUGUCAAACUUAAAAAAAUAAUAAUACUAAAAAAAAUAAAAACUUGUUAAUAUAUUAUUUAUUUUCACAAGUAUUUAACAUUCAAUAAAAGUUAACUAAUGAAUUUUACCAACAAAUUUUAAUAAUAUGUUUAUAACAUUAAUCCAGCAACAACAAAUUUAAUAAUAAACUCUCCACAUAAUGUGUUUUUUUUAAUGCAAUACUUUUUUUUGCAUAUUCAUCAUUAUAUCAUACAAAAAUUAUAUAAACUAAAUACAUAAUAUUAAUUAAAUAAAAAGAUAAAUAUCAAUAAACUUUUCGAUAACAAUAUAUUUUAUUUCACAACAAAUUCUCAUGGUAUUAAUCUAAUAUGAAUAAAAAAUGUAAAAUGUCAAUAUAAAUUUCAACAAAAAUAUAUUUUAUUCCACAAUAAGCUCUCGUGGUAUUAAUAUGAUAUGAAUAAAAAAUAUAAAAUGUUAAUACAAAUUUCAACAAAAAUAUAUUCUAAAAAUUCAUUAUCAUAGCAUAUUUAAAAAAUUAUAUAAACCAAAGGAUAUAAUAUUAACAUAUUAACAUCAAAUUUCAACAAGUUUCAUUUUUUCAAUAACAAAUUUAACAUUAAAUACUAAUGAUUAAUAUUAACAAUAAACUCUAAAAAAAUUAAAAAAAAAACAUAAAUUUAUGAUUUAUUUAUAGGAUAUUUGAAUAAAAUUUAAGAGAUAUGUAAAUGAAAUAAAACUUUAAUUUUUUUUCUCUAUCUUCUAUAGUGCUAUUCUACCUGUUUUUCCCCCUUUCCCUCCCCCUAAAACACUAUUUCGAAUAUGAAGUGAUUGAUACUUGGGAGGCAGAAGGCAUGAGGCUAUGAAUUGUAUUUUUUUUAUAUAUUUUUUUUCUUCUGGAAACACAUUUACUACCUAUACAAGUUUUGUUAAAUCAAACUAACUUUGGGCUUUAGCCUAAUGGUCACACUUUCACACCUCCCCGAGCACCUUGGGCCCUAGUUGGCUCUAAUCCUCUUUUAGAGGUUGGGGAUAUGAGUAGAAGAACUCUACUCUAAUAUAAUAAGUAACCGCAUCCCUCAUAUUAUUAGGGAAUUUGAUUCUUUUUGUUGUAUUUGUUCAUUGAGAUUGUUAAUUAGUUAGAUCUCAUCCAUUGUUCAUAUACCCCUUGUAAACAAAGUCUUUCUUGCCACAAAGAAUUUAAUCGCUUGAUCUUAUCAUAUUGACUCCCUCCCCCCUGGCCCAUUGAGCCCUAGUUGGCUCCAUUCUUCUUUGGGAGGUUGGGGAUAUGAGUAGAGGAACUUUACUCUAAUAUAAUAAGUGAAUGUGUUCCUAAGAUUAUUGAGGAAUUUGUUUCCUUAUGUUGUAUAUAUUCACUGAGAUUGUUAAUUAGUUGGAUUUCAUCCAUUGUUCAUAUACCUCUUGUAAACAGAGUCUUUCCUGCCACAAAUAUUUGAAUCAUUUGAUCUUAUCAUAUUGACUAGGUCUUCUGGCUCUUAAAGGCCUGUAACAUAGUUAUCUCGACAUUCCAUAGUUGCUUGAUCAAGCUCCAGUUAUGGUUGUUAGUUUCAGAGAGAAUGCAUAGUAGACUACACAAUAAAAAUUUAAAUUUUUAGAUCUUUUAAGAUUUUUGAAAAAUACCUAAACUUGAAUAUUUUCAAGUAUGAUGCCAAUCGAUGAAGGGAAAAUCUCAAUAACCACUAAUUUUUCACCAUGAUGACUCAAACCACAAUUAUCUUGCACAAGAUAGUGUGGACAACCUCUUGGGAAAGAAGACAAUGGAGGAAGAGAGAAAAUAAAGGCUCUCAAUUGAAAGUGUGUGCAUAUGUUUAACCCUAAACCCAUAAUGAAUUUAUAUAAAGAUAUAAAUUGGCUUUAGUUAUUAAGGGUCCAUUGGUUAGGCUUAGAUAACUAAAGACCCAUUAGUCAACGUAAGUAACUAAUAUCCCAUUAGUUUGAGUAUAAGUUAAAUAAAAGCAUACUAACUAAUAAAUAGAACUAGUACUUGUCUAAUUAAAUUUCAUGCUUUGGUGCAUCCUUAUGAGACCAGUGCACCCUAUUACACUUUGAUGAGAUCCCAAAUUAACUUGAAAUCUUGAUAGGAUUAAUUGGACCUAUCUUAAUGAGUUUGAAGUCUCACAACUAAUCUCUAAUUGGAAAAUGUUGUUAUGACUCUUAUUUUUUGGAUUGAAAGUAUUUUUAAAUAUAUUUCAGGAUAAUUUAAUUGAUUUAUGGAGUUUUGGAGGAAAGUAGAAAAGAAAUAUGGGGAUAAACUAAGAGAAAGGAGAAAAGUGCAAGAUGACAUACCCUUGAUAUGUGCUCGAGCAAGUGGGUGCACUCCUCUGAUGUGCCAAGAGGAUUUGGCAGACCUAUCUAAGUAAAGAAAGCAAGGCAUGACAAAUUUUUAGUUUAAAAGAAUGGUGCAUCUUAAGAGAACUUAAGUGAUUAAAGGGUGGCACAACUAAAAGACAAUUAAGUUGGCACACCCUUGGUUUGAGAAGGUGACACACCCUUCCUCAACAUAAGUGGCUCACCUUCUAAAUGCACUUAAGAGAAGAAAGAGCUACAACACCUCUAUAGCGCUUAACUGGAACACCCACUUAGUGCUCUAGACUUAUAAAAAAACUAAGUGAACCAAUGAACCUUUUUUUCCCCUCCAUGAACAUGUGGCACACCAUGUCAACUAAAGUACAUCAUCAACAACCGUGAAUGGAUGGCACACUAAUAUAAAGUCCUAGUACAUGCGCCAAACCUCAAUGCUCUUAAAGCCAUCAUUAUUUGACUACCACCAUGCUUUCUAUCAUAACCUUUUCAUGGGAAUGCAAGCUAACAAUAAAGAGUGUUGUAACAAUUCAAAUAAAAGAAAGGAAUUCCUACAUGCUAAUUAGUAGAUAUGGUGAAGCCAUCAACCCUCUAACUUGUUUCUUGACAUGUAUGUUAGGUGAUUCAAUAUCUGUUUAGGGCUUAAAAGUGCAUGUAUCUAAGAUCCUAGGUAUAAUGGAAGCUAUAAAAAACUAAACUUUAGCUCCUUAGGAUGUGUUGAAACUAUACUUGGGGUUUGAAUAUUCUUAAAUCCAAAUUCACCCACAAUAGAGAUUUUAAAACCUUGUGAUCUUUCAUCUAAUGACUCUCUCCUGAAACUAGGCACUAGAGAAAGGUGGGUUUCUCUCUAUAGGGAUGGGGGCUAGGGUUCCUUCUCUUUGGAAGACAAAAUAGCUAAAAGAUACAAACCUUAAAUCCUAAAGGGGUUUAUAUAGGCUUACCUAUGAGCUUAAGUAACGAGCUCAUCUUAGGGUUGGAUCACUUAAUCUAACUUACUAGCUCCUAAUUAAUUAAUUACCUUUAUUAGGCUUGAAUUAAUUAAUUAGCCUAAUUUAGCAAGCCCAUUCAUAAACUCAUGUGUAAGCUUAUGUUUUUACCAAAAUGUCGUAAUGCACACUUUUGAAUAAAAAUAUUGAGCUCGUGCCAAAGUUUGCAGUGACAUUUACCUACGAGUGAGACCCUAUGAUGGUCAUAUAUUCCCUAUGGAUUAGGUUAUUAUUGAUGGAAUCCAGUGACAAUAUGUAUUCUCAAAUAAAGACACCAUGAUAUCUUAUGGAGAUUGAGAUAGUUUGUCUCCUUGGGUGAUUAUAAGGAAAAGUGUUCAAGAAAUCAAUGAUCGUUAUAGUUCUUUAACUAGAACAAGACACAAACUCUUUGAGAGUUGGAGUAUGUCGGUUGAUCAAAUAAUAGGAGGACCUAAACUCAAGGAUUAUCAAGGUAAUCUUAAGAGUUUAAUAGCAUUCACCUUUUUAGAUUAUGAACACCGAUUCAUAAGAUGCUUGCAUACAGUGGAUUACUGGUCACGAACUCGAGCACUUAAUAUACCUUGUUGUACUAUACAUAGGAUAUUAGAGUGCAGUUAACUCUCUAUAAUAGGAUGUUGAUUCAACUUUAAAAUUAGAUUUUGAGAGAGUCAAUAUUUGCCAAUAGGUUCCAAUUGUCCCUCAUAGAACUCAUAUUCCUUGAUGACACAAUUUAUGAGAUUUAUUUGGAUUCUUUAUUCACUUAUGUGCAUAAGAGAGUUUUGGUAAAUACACAAGAUUGCACAAGAGCUAGUGAAUUAUCUCUUAGGUAGGGCUAAAUGAUUAACUAGUGCCUAAUUGGGUUAAUUAAUCAAUUAGGACCUAAGUUAGUUUAAGUGACCCAAACUCAAGACGACUUUAAGUCACUUAAGCCUCUUGGAAGCUUACAAAUACCUUAUAGAAAUGUUAAGACUUCAGUCUUUUGAUAGUUUUCUUAUUCAUAUAUAGAUAUAGAAAGAGAAAGAGAGCUCUAGCCACAGUGGGUUCAUGAGAUCUAUAAUUUCUGCACUAUCUACUGUGUUUUACAUCAAUUCUUCACCAACUAGAUUAGAUUUAGGAAUAUCCAAAUCUUAGGUAAAACACUAAACUUUAAAUCCUAGAGUGUUUUUGACAUCUAUUGCUUCCAUUACUAGGAUCUAUAGAGCUUAAGAAGUAUUGUAUGCACCCUAAUUGGUCUUAGGAUAAGGAAUUAAGUGAUCUAGAUAUUCCUAGCAUUUUAGACUAAGACAUCGCUUCAUUGUUGUCAUAAAACAAGAUCAUCAAUGAUUCCCCUAAAAGAACUACCCUAAGUCCCAUAAGAAAUAUCUUAAGCUAAAUGACUUCCUUUGUUACUUCAAAAGCAACAACAAAGACCACUUAUAGAGUGUACACAUACCUAAAAACAAACUUGCAAGAGUCCUCAUCAAGCAAAAAGUCUAAUUCCUUGUACCCAAGGAGUACAAACUCAUUGUAAAGACACACAAGCCAAGUGAGCUCAAUCACAACACGAAAAAAAAAAAGGGUCCAAACUAAGUGAGUAAUGCUCUAGCAAUGGUGAUAUGAUGAUCAUAGCUAUGACUUGUAUACAUGAGUGUUGAGUUUUAAUUUUAAUUAAGUGUUAAAAUUUAGACACCACUAUGCAUUCGAGCCAAGUCAAUUCACAUGAGUGAAGAUUUUAACACUUAAGACGCAUUAAGUGUUGAAACGUGAUACCUCUCAACAUCAGGGCUACGACUCGUCUACAUGGAUGUUAAACUUGGGUCCUAUUUUAUUUCAGCACUAAAAUUUAGACAUCAUUAUAUAUCUAAGUCAAGACAAUUCGCAUAAGUGAAGAUUUUAACAUUUAAGUCGUAUUCAAUAUGAAAAAUACAACACCACACCAUAUCAAGACUAUGACUAGUCUACAUGGAUGUCGAAUUUUAAAUAUUCAUUUUUAAUGGAUAUUUAGGUUUUUUAAAAAUGUCUCUCAAAGAGCUAAGGUAAUUUUUGAAUAAUUUUGACAUUGGUUUUUUCUUCCAAAAAAAAAAAAAAAAAACUAUAAGGGAAUUUAUCUCUUCAAGCAAUGAAGAUAACACAAGUAUUUGGAGAUGACAGGCUUACUUUAUCCUUAAAAGAAAAGCAAAAAAAAAAAAAAAAAAUACAUAUAUGUAUGUACGUAUAUAGGGAUGCAAUAUAUAUAUAUAUAUACUUUGUGUGGAAAUUUUUUAUUAGGUGUCUCAAAAUUUUAUGUCCUUAUAUAAAAAAAUAAGUUAGGGAUAAAAAAAUUGGGACGAAGAUACAAUGAGAAAAAGAAAUAGAUUUAUAAAUAGAAAACUUUUCUAUUAACAUAGUCUUCUUUUCAUACCAAGUAGAGGAACAAGUGAAAAAAUAAAGCAGUAACUAGAAAAGUGGAAUAGAGAUAUUUGAAAUAGAAAAACUUCUUAUUAAAAUAUUAUGGACCCCGCAUUUCGGCUUAUGCGUUUUUCACUUGAUGGCGAGCUCAAUUUUUAUUUGAAAAUGAUUUUAUUUAUUAAAAAAAAUGACUUGGAGUCGCCACUUAUUUUUGUUUCAUUUUUAAAAUGGUAAACAAAAUAAAAAAUAAAACCCUAAGUGUGACUCCUUAUUUUGGAAAAGGUGGUCUGUGAAAAACCGGAUCAGGGUCGGGGGUUAGGUUACUUAUCGGGAAGGUACAGUAAAGACCAUAGCACCCCUUUAAAUCCCUAAAGUCGGGUCUCUACUAAUAAAAUGAAGUUGAUGUGGCAAUCAAUAGGAAGAUCAAUGGAUACUCAAAUCGAUCAUGCAUAUAUAGGAAUCCAAGCAUGCAUAUAGAAUAACUAGAAUGAGAGUGGAUGCGUACCUAGGCUACGAAUGAGCAAUGCACUAUCAUAAAAAUGGGAUCAGUGUACAAUAAAGAGCACAAAACAUGUCACAUGCAUCACCAAACAGAAAUUAAAACUAUUCGAACGAAAACUGGAUUUUUGAAAUUUAUUUGAAAAUUGGAGUCUUAGAGAUUAUUUGAAAAUUGGAGUUUUAGAGAUUAUUUGAAAUUUGGAUUUUUAGAAAUUAAAUGUAAGAAUGAGAAUAUUAGAAAUUAAAUUUGAAAGAAAUUGGAAAUUUGAAAAUUAUUUGAGAGUUUAGGAUUUUAAAAAAUUAAAUUAUGAAAAUUGGGACUUUGGAAAUUAAAUUUUGAAAGAAAUCAGAAUCAAAAAUUAUUUGGGAAGUAGAAACUAUGAAAAUUGAAUUAUAAAAAAUUGGAAAUCUUGGAAAUCAUUCGAAGGUAGAAUUUUUAGAAAUAAAUGAAUAAAAUGAUAAUAAUAAUGAUUUUCGAAAAUUGGAAAUUGAACUUAGGGAUUGGAAAUUUAAAGAAUUAUUUAGGGAUGAAAUUUUAAAUAAAUGAACAAGUGGAUAAAUAAAUGAAUAGAAUAACGAAAAUAAUAAUGAUUCGACAAAUAAUUACGAAGAUGGGAAUUUUGGAAAUUAGAAAUUGAAUUUAGAGAUUGGAAAUUUGAAGAAUUAUUUAGAGAGGGGAUGUUAAAUAAAUGGAUAAGUGAAUAAGUAAGUGAAUGGAAUAACGAAAAUAAUGAUUGGAUAAAUAAGUGUGAAAAGUAGAAUUUUAGAAAUUGGAAAUUCGAAGGAUUAUUUAGAUAUGGAAUUUUAAAUAAAUGAAUAAGUGAAUAAAUAAAUGAAUUGAAUAAUAAUAACGACGAGAUAAUAAAGAUUAGGUAAAUAAUUACAAAAAAUAGAAUUUUAGAGAUUGGAGAUUGAAUUUAGAGAUUGAAAAUUUGAGAAAUUAUUUAAAGAUGGGAUUUUAAAUAUAUGAAUAAGUGAAUAAAUAAAUGAAUGAGAUAAUAAUUGUGAAACCAAGGUUUGGUUAAUCUUGAUUUUGAUGAUAACAAAACAAAGUUUAGAACUAAUGAUUAUAUUUCAAGUGUGAUUAGGCAAGAUGAUUUCCAAAGUGGCAAUCACAAAGACAAAUCAAGCCAAGGAGAAAUCAUGAAGAAGAAGACCACCUCAAAGAGAAGUGUUUUUCAAAGACCCAAGCUUUAUAAGAUCUCUUUGUAAGGAAAGACUCAAUUAGUGGAACCUCAAGUUCGGGAUUGAAGCUAGAGGAGAGUGGAUGUAGGCCGGGUUGCGCCAAACCACUAUAAACUCUUGUGUUUGCAUUCUCUUUUCCCUACUCUUUUAAUUUAUAUGCAAUUGUCUAUAUAUUACUUAUUAUAUACUUGCAUAUAAUUGUCUCUUGCAUUCACUUGUUUAAAUUUGAGAAAAGAGACCAUCACCCUAUUCACACCCCUCUCCCCCUCUUCUAGGGUGAUUACCAUAGGUUGGAUUAACUUAAUUUUUCUAACAAUAAUAAUAACGAAAAUAAUCAUUAAACAACUGAAUGUGAAUAGUGGAAUUUUUGAAAUCAGAAAUCAAACUUGGAAGACGGAAUUCUGAAAAAUUGUUUAAAGAUGGAAUUUUUAAAAUAAUAGAUAAAUAAAUGGAAUAAUAAUAAUAAUAAUAACGAAAAUAAUACUUAAUGAAUGAACAUGAUAGUGGAUAUUUGAAAUCAGAUUAAAUUUGGGAGACGGAAUUUUGGAGAUUUUUAAGAUAGAAUUUUUAAAAUAAAUAAUAAAUAAAUAAAUGGGANNNNNNNNNNNNNNNNNNNNNNNNNNNNNNNNNNNNNNNNNNNNNNNNNNNNNNNNNNNNNNNNNNNNNNNNNNNNNNNNNNNNNNNNNNNNNNNNNNNNAAUAAUAAUAAUAAUAAUAACGAAAAUAAUACUUAAAUGAAUGAACAUGAAUAGUGGAAUAUUUGAAAUCAGGAAUUAAAUUUGGAAGACGGAAUUUUGGAAGAUUUUUAAAGAUAGAAUUUUUAAAAUAAAUAAAUAAAUAAAUAAAUGGAAUAAUAAUAAUAGUAACGAAAAUAAUAAUUAAGUGAAUGAACGUGAAUAGUGGAAUUUUUUAGAUUGGAAAUUAAAUUUGGAAGACGGAAUUUUGAAAAAAUUGUUUAAAGAUGGAAUUUUUAAAAUAAAUAAAUAAAUGAAAUAAUAAUAAUAAUAACGAAAAUAAUACUUAAACGAAUGAAUGUGAACAGUGGAAUCUUUGAAAUCGGGAAUUAAAUUUGGAAGACGGAAUUUUGGAAGAUUGUUUAAAGAUAGAAUUUUUUAAAAUAAAUAAAUAAAUAAAUGGAAUAAUAAUAAUAGUAACGAAAAUAAUAAUUAAAUGAAUGAACGUGAAUAGUGGAUUUUUUUUUAUUUGAAAAUUAAAUUCGGAAGUCAGAACUUUGAAAAAUUGUUUAAAUAUGAAAUUUAAAAUAAAUAAAUAAAUAAAAAUGAUAAUAAUAACGAAAAUAAUAAUGAUUAAAUAAAUAAAUGUGGAAAUUGGAAUUCCGGAAAUUGAAAAUUAAAUUUAGAAAUCGGAAUUUUAAAGAAUCUUGAUUUGAGAAUUAAAUUUUUAAAGAAUGGGUUUUGGAAUUUAGGAAAAUUUGUUUUGAGAAUUAAAUUUUUAAGAAAUUAAAUUUGGAAAUUUUAGAAAACUAUUUGAGAAUUGUAUUUUAAAAAUUAAGUUUGGAAAAUUAUUUGAAAUUAAAUUUUUAAGAUUAAAUUUGGAAAACUAUUUUGAGGAUUGAUUACAUAAUAAACUGAAAUGACUAGAAUAUAAUAACAUGGAAUUAAUUUAACUAAGAAACUAGAAUUCUAAACACUCAACAACUAAACAAGACUAAUAAGAACAAUAAUUAAAUAAAUAUAAAUAAGAAUAAAGUUAUCAACUUAGAAACACAAAUAUAAUGACAUGGAAUUAAUUAGGCUAAGAAACUAAAACUCUAAAACAGAACAUUUAUGGAUCAAAAUUAAAAUUUUCAUAUUUAAAACAUGAGAACAAUAACUUGCAAUUGACUAAGUUAAUUAACUAAAACUAUAAAAACUCAACUAAAUAUUUAUGCAUCCAAGUUAAAAGAAAAUAACAAACUUGAAACACGAAAACAAUGAUUUAAUUGACUAAAUUAAUUAACUAAAACUCUAAAAACAAUAACAAACUAAAAAUAAAAUAAAUAAAUAAUAAAAAAACGAAGGUUGCAAUUUUAAAACUUAUCUUAGCAAGACGGACCAUAGCGAAGAAAAAACCAUCUUUGGGUCCUUCAAAACUGAGGAUGAUGCCUGUUAGAAGAAUUUCCUAUCUCUUGCCCCCACCAUCUCCAAUCCUUCCAGCUUCAACAGAUGACAUAAUAAACAUGCCCAGACCAAUAGCUGUAGCAACCAACACAAAAUCCUUUCUACAACCAAGACAGAUUUCUCUCACACUUCCUCAAACAUCAACAACAUAGUUUCUUCAACCCAAGAGACGGGUCUCGAUUGAAACCCUUUUCCCUAAAUUUAACUCACACAUGAUCACGCCCCUUACCACUGAACUAAAGAGUAGAGGUACAAUGGGCAAUCAAUCCUUAUGAGGAACCCAUAUAGGAUACAAUGUAUAUCAAGGAUUUUCUCUCCACUGCCAGGGCCGAGAACAACAUCAGGUGCAACAGUAUAGGCAACACCAACUGCCAUGAGGAGCUAUAGUAAAUUCAUGGAAGCAAGUUCAUUGAGGCCAAAGCUUUCCUUCAUGAGGGACCCAAAAAAAAUUCUGUACUAUACCCCCUUAGCAUACGUGUUGAAGUAUAUCUUCUUCAAGGUGGCUAUCUCCUCCCAAGUGGAUUGAGUUCUUCCUUUUUUGGAUGAUUGUAGAGAGUCUUUUCAACAUGCAACCCUCUCCAAAUUUCUCAAGCAUAUCAGAGCACAAACUAGAGGAUAUCAUCCAGAAACGGAGACACAAAUUUGAUAUCUGGAAGCUCUCCUCUUUAGCAAGAUUUUCUAGGCUUCUCGUUUCUGUUUUCCUUCCUCUCCAAAAAAAAAAAAAAAAAAAACAGACGGUCUCCCACCGUGUCUCUCCCUCUUUUUCUGCUGAAAAACCCCUUAAUCCCGCCGAGCCACCUGCUUCCAUCAAUCCAUCUGUUCCACUGUUCUUAAUUUGGCGAAGACGUCACCAACCCAACCACCACCAUGGCAAGGUGGUGACGUCCUUUGCCACACGUCUCAACAUGCAGCUCAUACGGAAGUCGUCCCUCACCCCUUCAAAAAAUAUAAAUGUUUGGCUUCUUAGGGUGGCCAGCAAGGGGUUUACAAAUAUGCCCCUCUUCGGUAGAGUUCACGAGUGUAAGGAAUAUGAACACUAGAGUGAAAAGAAAGUGUGAAUAAUGAGUGUAACAAAGUGACCUCUACCGAAGAAAGGAAAGACCCCUAAAGGUACACAAGUAGAACACAAACUUGCUCAAACCAAUAAAGGAACAAAAGGGGUUCUAAAAUCCUAAAAGGAGGGUAGCUCUCAGAGAGUCUCUAAAGUUGCGCUAUCGAUCUAGACUCCCUCUAAAAUGUCUCCAAGAGUGACUAAAAGAUCAAUGUCAAAGAUGAAUAACGGUCGAACCACCUUGGAGAAUAGGAAAGAAUGCAUCCAAAGGGCACUAUCCUAUGUGAACUACAUGAGAACGCCAAGUGUAGGGUGCCCAAUCAACUUGACCGAAAUAUGUGUCGCGAACUCAAAGGACUAUGUCAUGUGCGGUGGAAGGGGAGGUCUAGAAGAGCAUGAUGAACAAGCGAUAAGCACAAGGUAACGAGGUGAGGAAAAGGAGGACGAAUGUAAAAUCGCGAAGGCAAGAUGUGCGAUGCUAGUGAAUAAUGAAUGCCAGGAGCUAUGACUUUGAAUGGUAAGGCUGAGGAAAAAUGACUCUAAUUGCCAAAAUGAGGAAAUGUGGUGACUCAAAAUGUCGGAAUUAGUAUGCACAACGACUCUGAAUGUCAAAACUAAAGGAAGAUGGUGGCAACGAAUGCCAAGCUGGACAAUGGCUCUGAACACCCAAAUUGAAGAUGCGACUCUGAAUGCCAAACUGAAGAAGAUGAUGGCUCUAAAUUCCAAACUGUGAAGGGAUAGUGACUAUGAACUCCAAGUUGGAGAUGCGGCUCUGAACGUCAAACUGAAGAAGAUGAAGGCUUUGAAAGCCAUAAGUGAGAACUGACAUCUCUGAAUGUCAAACUGAGAAAGACGACUCUGAACGUCGUAACUGAGAAGCGAUGAUGGCUUUGAACGCCAAACUGAAAAGGGAUGGUGGCUCUGAACAUCAUAACUGAUAAGAGAUGGUGGCUCUGAACGCCAAACUGAAACAACGGCUCUGAACGCUGAAAUGGAGGGAAUUGGUGAUGGAUUUGGAUGUCGAGCGACAGAUAAACGUAAGGAUUUUGAGUGUCGAAUUGAAAAUGUGGCUUUGAACGCCAAACUAGAAGACAUCGACUUUGUACAUCAAACUAAAGAUGCGGCUCUAAAUGCCAAAUAAAACAAAAUAUGGCUCUGAACGCUGAAUUGAAAGUGUGGCUCUGAACGCCAAAUUGAAGACAAGUAAUGGCUCUAAACGCCGAACCGAAGAUAAGUAAUGGCUCUAAAUGCCAAAAUAAAUGAUGUAAUGGCUCUGAAUGUCGAACAAAGAUGUGACUUUGAACGCCAAAUGAAACAAAACAUGGCUCUAAACACCAAACUGAAGACAAGUAAUGGCUAUGAACGCCAAACUGAAGGUGUGGUGGCUCUGGAUGUCAAAAUGAAACUGUGGCUCUGAAUACCAAACGAAAAAUGGACAAUGGCUCUGAAAGCCAAACGAAAAUGUGCAACGACUCUGAAUGCCAGACAAAAAAAAGAUCAACGACUCUGAACGCCAAACGAAAAUGUGCAAUGACUCUGAACGCCAAACGAAAAAAUGAUCAACAACUCUGAACGCCAAAUGGAAAAUUGCUCUAGAUAUCGAAAUGAAUGUGUGAAAAAUGACUUUGAACACCAAACUGGAGAUGUAGCUUUGAACGUCGUAACUGAAAAAUGAAUGGUGGCUCUAAACGCCAAACUACAAGGAUAUGAUGAGAGGAAAAUAUGCCCCAGUGUAGUAUGCCGCCACAACUCUCAAUCCACUAGAAGGGUCUAAAAAAGACUCCAUGAGCCUCGAAAGAUGCUCUGCUAGCUAGUCGGAACGAUCAAAUCAACUAUAAACAUAGCCUCGUAACCCAUUCGUCUGAAUCACGAGGCCUAACGAGAUGUCAUAAUGAGUCAAACGUUUCUAGCUCGAAAUGUUCUGCUGGAGGAAUCCAUCGUCAUCUCAAAUGGGUGAUCCAUUGGGGAGUCUCAAGAGAAUAAUCCGCUAGGGUAACUACCACGAUUUCAUCAAAACUAUUUGCAGGGUCAUGUAUAGUGGGACAAUCACAACCUGAACGUCAUGCUCCACUGAAAGCUCAUCUCGAUGAAAAUCAUAGGAAUAGUGACCGGUGAAGCAAAUACGAUAUCUCUCGGUCGAGUGAUGAAAAAUGUAACAUAUCUGCGAGAGAACGAUCAUCUCCAUAGCUAAAUGAGGGAAUAUGCCCCAGUAUGACAUCAAAUGUACCCGGUCUGUCCUGAUAACUCAAGAAUAACUCCAUUGUGAUGCAUAAGAGAUCUGACAUGUACUCCACUGAAAUGGUGAUGUGGGAACCUAUGUGCUUGGAGUAACUCUACCCAAGAAUCAUGACUAUAUUAGAAAGUAUGAGCCUGAAGAAAUGACUCAAGAAAGGCUCAAUUGAAGAAUCAGGACAAAAUGAAAUCGAAUCAUCAAUCUAGCGUGUAUCUCGUAAUUGGGGAUGAUCAUGCAAAUCAGUGGGGAUCUACAAAUCUCGACCAAAAACGGAAAUAUGUCCCAGUACGACAUCAAAUGUGUGAUAGGUCGGAAAAAUCAAGUGACCUCAAGUCAUCCAUCAUCCAUCAUCAAACAUGCAAUCCUAGUCAUCAACGUCCAUAACUGAAUCAUACCCAUAGAUCCAAGAGGUAUCUCUCGGAAGGAGAAACAUGAUGACAUCUAAGUGUCGAGAAGUGCAAGGCUAACUGAAGGGCUCCCAAGAGGCUCCACUAAGGAAUCAUCGUAAAAAUAGCAAAUAGAUCAUCGUCUUGGCGUACAUCUCGCAAUUGGGGAUAAGCGUGCAACUCCAUCAAGAUCUAUAAAUCUCAUCCAGGAUAGAAAUAUGCCCCAAUAUGACAUCGAAUAUACAGUAGAUCAGAAAUCAGGUGACAUGGAAUCAUCUAUCAUCAAACAUGUGAUCUCCGUGAUCCAAAUCAAAUCCAAACAUCUAGGGAACGUAUCUCAGGAUAAGAAGCAUGACAGCAACCAAAUGCUGAGAAAUGUGGGCCUGGCUUAAUGGCUCAACAGAGGCUCCACUUAGGGAUCAUCAUAAAAUAGCGAACCGGUCAAUCAUCACAGUGUACAUCUCGCAAGUGGGGAUAAGCAUGCAACUCCGUGAAGAUCUGUAAAUCUCGCCCGAAAUGGAAUAUGCCCCGGUAUGACAUCGAAUAUAUGAUAGAUCAGAAAAACAGGUGACAUAAAAUCAUCCAUCAUCAAACGCAUGAUCCCGAUAAUCCAAACACAACUGUGGACCCGUAUUUUUCACGUGCGUCCCCACUCGAUCGGCAAGACUCGCUUUUUAUUUGUGAAAAAUUAAUUUUUGGAAAAAAGUUUGAGCCGCCACUUAUUUUAUUUUUAUUUUAAAGGGAAAAUAAAACAAGAAACAAAAACCCUAAAAUGUGACUCCAUAAUUUUUGGAAAAAACAUGUCUUUGAAAAACCCGAGUCUAGGUCCAGGGAUCAGGUUACUUAUUGGGAAGGUACCUUUAAAAGGUAGCACCCAUCUAAGCCCUACAAAGGUCUCUACUGACAAAGUUAAGUGAAGUGUGGUAAUUAAUCAGUUAAUUAUAGAUACCUAAAUAGGCUAGGUGAUUUUAAAUAUUGCAUGCCUAACAAGAAAACAAACCAUAAGAGAGAGUCGAAGUGCGUACCUGAAUGACUUCUCAAAGCGCUAUCAUAAAACAUGAAAGUUAGUGUAGGAAUCUAUCACACAACAUAUGUCUUAUCCGGGCAAAUCUAAUAUAUAUUUAAACACCCAAGAGUCACAUCAUGCAUGGAUGUAGUCACCAAUAGCGUACUUGUCUAUAGAAUUCUCGAAAAAAAAAAGAUGAGGAGCGUACCUGGAUAGCAAGCUAAAGCGCCUUUAUGGGAAGCAAGGUUAGCCCAAUAACAAAUAUAAAACAAAUUCAAGCAUAUCUCCAAAAGGAAUCAAGAUUAAUUAAAUACCAAAAAAUCAUUUUUAAAAUCAAUAAUAGUGAAGAUAUCAAGAAUGUAGGACCCCCCACCAAAGUCCAUAUUACUUUUGCACGAAUUGAUUCAAUGAAUUCCAUUGUUUGGAAUCAUGAAGCUUGUUCAUGCUUGUUGAAAAUCGAGAAAAAUCAAGAAAAUCGGUUGAAAAUCAAAUAAAAUAGUGAAAAUGCAUGCCAUAAGGAAAAUGGCAGUAAGAGUGUGUUAGAAUAUGGAUUUUAUACCUAGAAAGGACCUAAGAUGAAUUUUUCAAAGCCAGGAAUGUUUAGUUGAACAAUGGUUCAAAAAUUCAAUUUAAAACAAUAAGUUCCCAAUCAAAGAAGCAAACAGAGGAAAAAAUGUGUAUAGCAAGGUUGCUGUCAACCCCUUAGCCACUUGAUUCAGACCCGGAGAAAUAAGCCUCAUGGGUAGGCCUUGCACCCAUGAGAGCCUAGGCGAAAAGCAAGGAAAGCCUGGAGGUUUGGUGGUUCAAACCCCAGGAGCUAAGUGUGGGGAUCGCGGACAAGUCAAGGGCGCACUCCGAAUAGGCGUUACCAAAGGAUCCGGACAUGUCUACCCGGGGAAGUUGAAUCGUCCUCAUCUCCUGUCCGGCGACAGGGUUCCGAAUGUGAGAUAUCCUGGUGGAUGGAAUGUCAGCGGACAGGAUUCCGGAUGUGAGAUAUUCGGGUGGAUGGAAUGUCGGCGGACAGGAUUCCGGAUGUGAGAUAUCCGGGUGGAUGGAAUGUCGGCGGACAGGAUUCCGGAUGUGAGAUAUCCGGGUGGAUGGAAUGUCGGCGGAUUGGAUUCCGGAUGUGAUAUAUUCUGGUGGAUGGAGUGUCGGCGGACUGGAUUCCGGAUGUGAUAUAUCUGGGUGGAACGAGGGUGGAAUGAGCUGUGAUUCCCGUUCGGGUGGAAUGAACUGUGAUUCCCGUCCAGGUGGAAUGAGUUGUGAUUCUCGUCCGGGUGGAAUGAGCUAUGCCAUGCGUCGAAAGGGGGGCGGUCUGCGCGACCAAGAGAGAGGGAGCCACGUGGCAAUUUUUGGGGAGGAUCCCACAUGUUUAACCCCAAGAAAACCCGUUUUACACAGCCUUUAUCAAGUUCCCACCUUUCUCGGAAUGCGCAUGGUCUCCAUAUCCGAGAAUACCAAGGUAAAGAAAGGGGAAGAAACGUAGAUACAGAAGCACACAAAAAGACCAAGAAAGAAAAGAAAGAAAAACAGGGGAAAAGAAGACAGUCGGUGGGUAUUUUGAAGCUAGAUUGGGACAUAAAUGGGGGCAAGACCCAUUCAAAGGUAAACCUAUAUUCAGAUUGCUUUCAGAUGGAACCAAAGACAUUAAAAAGAAUAUUAAAAUAGCAUAAACAUGCAAGCAAACCAGUCUCAACUAAUCAAAUUGUGGCCCUUGUGUCCACACCAAACGACAAGAAUAAAUCUUCAGAAAACUAAGAAGUCAGGAAAGAUUGAAACUAAAUGGUGAUAUAGAAAAAAUCUGGAAACAUACCUACACGUUCUCCUCUCCAAUUGCUUGGUUCCAGGCUGCUGCACCUUUUCCCGACUGAGAAAUCUGCUCCCCAAACCUUUUUCCGUCCACCAAUCUUCUCCCUCUCUAUACGUGUUCCAAGUCCCUCUCUUCUAUGCCUCUCUUCAAGACGAUCCUCUCAUGCCUCCUCUUUUCCUUUUCUCCUUAUAUUCGUAUUAGCCUCUCAAACUCAAUCUGCUCAAGAGAAUCUCAUUUCCUUUCUUCUAUUUCCCUUCCUUUUUCAAAAAUCAGAAUGUUCAUCUCCUCUCAUGCAGGAUAUUCUCUUUCCAUAUGUAUGCAGCCACAUUAAUUCCUUUUUCCUCACAAAAUAUUUCUCUUAACUUUUUUAGUGCACAUACCUUAGUGAGAGUUGAACAGCAACCCCUAUUCUCUUAUUAAACAAUAAAAAAACGAUAAUAGAGAGAAUAAAAACAAAAAAGAGUUAGCAAUCUUGCAACCUAUCAAAGAUUAAAAUAAAAUAAAAAUAAAUAAAAUAUAACAAAAUAAUUGAGUAAAAUAGUCAAUCCUAUGCGGGUCAUGCAAGUCACACAAAAAGUGAGUCUAAAAGUGCCUACUGGGCCAAGUGUGUCUAAAUGGGCCUAGAGCGGUGCCUAAUGGGCCAAGUGUACCUAAAAGUUAUCCUAAAAAUGAACGAAAAAAACCUAAGUUUAAAUUAGGGCUGCCAAGAGUCAUAAUAAGGGGUCAGAUAAUCCCUCAACCAAAGUCUCCGAGGUGACUCAGAAAAAGGUAAGCCGUAUGAGUAGUAAUAGGCCACCAAGGAACUAUUUUGAAGCACUGAAAACAAACUUAAAGUCAUGUGCUAAAGGGACAAAAUUGAAGGUUUACAAAUAUGCCCCUCUUCGGUAUAGAUCACGAGUGUAGAGAAUGCGAGUAGAAACACGAGUAAUGAGCGAAAUGAAGUGAACUAUAUCGAAGAAUUAAAGAAAGACCAGAGAUUUUGUCCUAGCACAUGAAGAGGUAAGAUCAAAAGAUGGGGUCUCAAUGACAUGGAUGGGACAACUCUAUGUGGGGGGAAAUGGCAAUAAAGAGAGAAGGCAUGUGACGAGUAGCACAAAGAUGGAAAGAGGUGAAAAGGACGACUCGAAGUCAUGGAUGAGAUGAAUGAAUCUAGGUCAUGGACAAGAUGAACGACUCUAGGUCUAAAAUAGGAUAAACGACUCUAGGUCGUGAGCUCAGGGCUCUAAAUGGAAAAGAAAUGACUUUGGGUUAAGAUGGAAAACAACUCUAGGUCGAGAGCUCUAGGCUCUAAAUGGGAAAGAAUGACUCUGGGUCAAAAUGGAAAAUGACUUUGGGUCGAGAGCUCUGGGCUCUAAAUAGGAAAUAAUGACUCUGGGUCAAAAUGAAAAAUGACUCUGGGUCGAGAGCUCUGGGCUCUAAAUAGGAAAGAAUGACUCUAGGUCAAAAUGGAAAAUGACUCUAGGUCGAGAGCUCUGGGCUCUAAAUAGAUAGCCGAUUAGGAUACUUUCUGACUCAAGGUGCCGGGUCGAGGCCACUCACAAGUGGCUGGAAUGAUGAAAACGAAACAUCUCAGGGAUGUGAAUGAUGCAAAUGACUCCGGGUCAUGAGCUCAGGGCUCGGGAUGCUAUGAAUGACUCUGGGUUGUGAUGCAAUGAGUAACUCAGGGUUACGAUGAAUAGCUCAGGUCUAUAGAUGGAAUGAAUGACUCUGGGUCAUGAUGCAAUGAGUAACUCAGGGUUACGAUGAAUAGCUUAGGGCUAUGAGCUCUGGGCUGUAUGACUGAUCGGCUAGAAGGAGAAUGUGAUACACAAACUCCAGGUCAAACCACUCAUGGGCGACCAAAUGAUGAAGGCUCAGCUCAGGACUAGAAAGACUCUAGGUCUAUAGGAAACGAUAGCUCAGGGCUACCAAACUCAGGGCCUAAGGGAAGAAAGACAGUUCAGAGCUAUAAGACUCAGGGUCUAGAAGGGAAGGAUAGCUCAGGGCUACUAGGCUCAGGGCCUAGAAAGAAAUGAAAGCUUAGGGCUACUAGGCUCAGGGCCCAAGGGAAGAAGAAUAAGUCAAGGCUACGAGGCUCAGGGCCUAGAAGGGAAUUAUAGAGAAGACCAACUCGAAAGUGGAUAUGAAAUAAAUGGGCUUAAAGCUGCAUACUCAAAACAACAAGAGUCGGGCUACUGAAAUCAAGAAGGAAAAUAUGCCCUAGUAUCCAGGGUGCUCACACUGCUGAAACAGCCGGUAAUUCAAUCAUCUGCUGAAAUCAAUGGGUCAAGAACCAAAUACGUCACAACAAACCUCUGAAAAGUCAAAACUGAAAGAACUCUCUAUGUUUGAAAAGCUGCUCUGUCUAUGAAUCUCAAAAGGUAAAUCUCAAAGUGUGUAUAUCGUGGCUCAUCUAAAAGCAAAUCUCAAAGUACACAAAAUGGUGCUCAUCAGGAUAACCCAAUAUGCAAGGUAACAAUGGCGGAAACAAAUCUGUCUCAUGAACAUCUAGCUAAAGGAUCCACCCAUGCUCCUCAGGUGAAAUCUGAUAUGAUCCAUCUCUAUCUCAACAAAUCCAUAUAGGGGGGAUCUUGAUACAGUCAAUCAUCGAAAACUCUAGGCUAGUACUUAAUCUGAAACCAAACUGGCUACUGUCCCAGUCUCAAGGAUACUCAAAGAAAAUAGAAAAAUAUGUCCCAGUAUAAGAUCUGAUAUCAAAGUCAUGAGGUAAACAACCGACACUAAUCAUCCAUCCUCAUACCACUGCCCAAACAAAAUCUCGUCAAGGAGAGGGGAAUAUGCCCCAGUAUGGAUAUCUGAUGUCAAAGUCAUGAGGUAAACGACAAACAAUGAUCAUCCAUCCUCGUACCACUGCCCAAACACAAUCUCAUCAAGGAGAGGGGAAUAUGCCUUAGUAUGGAUAUUUGAUGUCGAAGUCGUGAGGUAAACAAACAACAAUGAUCAUCCAUCUAUGCACAAUCUCACCAAUGAGAGAGGAGUAUGCCCCAGUAUGGAUAUCUGAUGUCUAAGUCGUGAGGUAAAAAACCAAUAAUGAUCAUCCAUCUAUGCACAAUCUCUAUAACCAUGAAUAAGGAUAGUCAUAUCGCACAAUAAUAGAUAGGAAUCUCGGGGAAAAAGAGGAAUAUGCCCCAGUGUGAAUAUAUAAUGCACAACCAAAGGAUGAAUCCAACAUCAUCAAUCAACUGUCCUCAGCUCAACAAUAAUCCGCUAAGAAGUCAGAAUGAAGUAUCGACCAAUGCCUCAAGGGAGACACUCUAAAUCUAAUAUCAAAUGAAUAGCCAAAAUGAUGAGGAAUGUGGUAAUCUCAGGAGUAUAAGCACGUCUCUAAUGAAUCCCUAACUGAAUCCAACAUGAAUCUGGUAACCUUGAAAUAGGGGAAUAUACCCCAGUGUACAAGAUCUAUACACUGCAUUGAAAACUGCCUGCAACUCAAUAAUGAUCCACUAGUCUAUCUCAAAAAUACUUUGCAAAUGGAACCUAGAAUCAUAAAAACUAUCAAUAAGCUCAACAAUGCUCCACUAGAACUGAUAUCAUCUCAACAUGCUCCACUGGGGAUCUCUGAUCGAUGAAAAUGCCCAGGCUCAAAGAAAGUGCUCCACUAGGGGCUCAUCUCAACCAAAUGAAAGGGGAAUAUGCCCUAGUAUGGAUAUUUGAUGUGUAGUAGAAUGGGAAGCCAAACAACGUCAAAUAUCAUCCAUAAAAAUGAAGCAAUCGUCUAUAUCCAACACUAGAUCACCUCCAAGCAUCAAAGAAGCAUCUCCUAGAAGAAGAAAUAGAACGACGUCUGUAUAUCAACCAAAUCCCAAACACCAGCCUAAGCAGAGGCUGUCAAAGAUAGCAUCUGAUCUCAUGGCCUCAGGGUGGUCUUAAGACACGGGACGUAACGUAGGCCAGGGUGAUAGGGUGAAAGAAAUGAAGGGAAACUAGGCUCAAAUACCCAAUGAUCAAACCCAUACCCUCAUGUACAAAAUAUAAUGCAUAGAAAAAAUCUCAUGAGCCAUGAACCUAAAGGUAACCAAAGGAAAUGUUGAUGGAGAAACAAGAGAAAGGAUAAUUGGUCAAACCAUCAAUGAAACAUGUGAGUGAUGUGAAGAAGGUAUCGAAUCAGAAAUGUGUAUCAAUAUGUAGGGAAUAGAUAAAAUAUGGAACAAUGAUCUGGAAAGAGGUGAUGGGAUACAAAAUAAGACAAUGAGAAAGUAGAAUGGAUGAUGAUCAACCCAUGAUAGUACAAUAAAGGAAAGUCAUAUCACCAAUGAUGGAAUGGUGGGUAAGACAAUGAUCCGGAGACCCUAGUAAAAAGAUUACUCAUCUCUCAUACUUAAUACAUAUCAACCAUGAUCCAAGAAGCAUAGGAUACCAUAGAACUCUCACAUGACUCCCUAACUCUCCAAAUGCAUAACAAGAGUGGCUCAAGGAGUGAAAACUCAUAUAAAAAUCUCACCAAAACCCACAAUGACAAAUAUACCCAGUAAACAGACCUCAAAAGGUGACAUAAGCACCCAAUUGAGCAAAAUGCCAUAUACAAACAUAUCAUUGCGCUUUUUAUCUUUUUUUUAUUUUUUUUCUUUUUUUUCUUUUUUUUUUUGUUUUUUGUUUUUUGUUUUUUUUUGUUUUUGUUUUUUUUUUUUUGGUUCUUUUUGCGCAUGCUCUAAUCAUCAAUAAAUUGAACUCCAAUGAGAAAGGUAUAAGGAAUGAACAAACUCUCUCAGACCACUGAUGAAUACAUGAACCCCAACCCACGAGACAACCUCUCAGACUAAAAUCUCCGAAUCAAUGCCAAAUAAUGGGAUGGAUGGAGUGAUAUGACUGCCCUCUUUUUGCACCAAGAUGUGAAGAAUCAUCNNNNNNNNNNNNNNNNNNNNNNNNNNNNNNNNNNNNNNNNNNNNNNNNNNNNNNNNNNNNNNNNNNNNNNNNNNNNNNNNNNNNNNNNNNNNNNNNNNNNNNNNNNNNNNNNNNNNNNNNNNNNNNNNNNNNNNNNNNNNNNNNNNNNNNNNNNNNNNNNNNNNNNNNNNNNNNNNNNNNNNNNNNNNNNNNNNNNNNNNNNNNNNNNNNNNNNNNNNNNNNNNNNNNNNNNNNNNNNNNNNNNNNNNNNNNNNNNNNNNNNNNNNNNNNNNNNNNNNNNNNNNNNNNNNNNNNNNNNNNNNNNNNNNNNNNNNNNNNNNNNNNNNNNNNNNNNNNNNNNNNNNNNNNNNNNNNNNNNNNNNNNNNNNNNNNNNNNNNNNNNNNNNNNNNNNNNNNNNNNNNNNNNNNNNNNNNNNNNNNNNNNNNNNNNNNNNNNNNNNNNNNNNNNNNNNNNNNNNNNNNNNNNNNNNNNNNNNNNNNNNNNNNNNNNNNNNNNNNNNNNNNNNNNNNNNNNNNNNNNNNNNNNNNNNNNNNNNNNNNNNNNNNNNNNNNNNNNNNNNNNNNNNNNNNNNNNNNNNNNNNNNNNNNNNNNNNNNNNNNNNNNNNNNNNNNNNNNNNNNNNNNNNNNNNNNNNNNNNNNNNNNNNNNNNNNNNNNNNNNNNNNNNNNNNAUCAUACGACAUCUCAUCCUGAACUGGAUGCUAUCUAUCUCACUAUCCAUUAAUCAUCUGGCUCAAACCUGCUAAUGUCUCUUGAAUAGAGUCAUGGUGACUGUAAUUCGAUCAACUAUAACAUGUUGAAGAUCCUGAUUCGUGCCCACUUGGUGUCUCAGUUGAUUCAUGUCCAGCUGGUGCUCCUUGAUUGAGGGAGUAAUCAACAAAAUUUAUAACCUAUUACACCAUAUACUAGGGUAGCAAAGAAAAAGCUACUAUAACAUAGUGGCUCUAGGAUCGUUCACUAGGAAGAGUUUUCAAAUUACAAAUGAUACCAAUUCAAAGUGAAUUGGUUCUGUUUCAUUUCAAGGUUAGCUUAAGAAAUAAAACACAAACUUUGGUUGAAAAAGAUUAAGAUUUAAGCUAACGGCAAAACAAGUACUGGAAAUUACUUAUGAAGAAAAACAUUCCUUGGAGAUUUAGGAUCAUAGAGGAGGUUCCUCAUGCAAAAACAUAGUUCCAGUCAGUUGGUUCAUUUCCUCGCAUUAGAGAAUUAACAUAUAGUCAAUUCUCUAACCGGUGUUGUACAGAUGCAUCCCUUAAUUGGAUUUCAGCUUUAAUUCCCUCUCACUGAUGCAACUUGCAAUGGUUCGUGCCUCUCACUUAGCCUUUACCAUUCAAGGUGAUCUUUAACCUUGGACUUCCCUUCUCAAGCUCGCAAGAGAUAACUAAUGGAUGUCUCCUUGGAGUCCAAAAGCUUACCAAGUGUUGGCAAUUCUAGAAAAUCCUACCUUCAAGUCACCUCCCAAAGGCUCGCAAAGGGUAAACUAGUGCAUCUCCAUGGACGGAGAUCACUUGCCUUACCAAGUGUUGGCCCAGCUGACUCCAAGGCGUUUUAAGUUAACUAAAAACAUAGAAAUCACUAAAGGAUUACACAUACCUCUUCAUUCAUGGCUAAAACCACAAAGCUAUUCAUUCUUGCACUUGGAACCUUUCCCGGCAACCUUAGCUCCAAGGAACUAAAGGUUUAGUUACUCAUUCUCUGGGGAAACUUCCUCAGAGAGUGCAUAACUAGUAAAUGAAAAAUACAAUCAAAGUGAGAAGGUAAGGUAGAGCAAAGGCUCUGUAUUUUACUUUCUUUCAAACUUUUACAAAAGGUUCGUCCUCCUCCCGAGAAUAGGCUCCCGAGAGCUAUUUUAUAUGAAAAUUACAAUAAUAAUUAUUACAUGGAUAUUUACUAUUUUUCCUAACUUAAUAGCUACGGAAUCCUAUAAUUGGUGGCUUACAAGGAGAAUUUUGGGAUUUAGAAAACAAAAAUCUGAAGAAAAAUAUCUCAAAGUGUCGGUCGCAAAUAUCGGGAAGCAUUAAGGACCCUUUCGCAAGUGAAAAUGAGGUCUGCGAGAUUUCGCAGACGCACAAAAAGGGCUGCGAAAUCACUUCGCAGCAAAAGGCUGAUUUCGCAGCGCUGCGAAGUUGGCUUUCAGCUUGCAGUGUUCGGCUUCCAACGUGUCGCAAAUAUCGGGAAACUUCAGGAGGAAUUCCACAGCACUGUGCAAAAUGGCUGCGAAAUCAUUUCGCAGCAAAAGGGUGAUUUUGCAGCUGUGCAAAAUUCUUCCUUCAGCUUGGAAUGAUUGGCUUCCAAUGGCUGUAACUCCUUCAUUUCAACUCCAAAUCGCACACCGUUUGAAGCAUUGGAUUGUUGACUUCCUGAGCUUCGAAAUGAAAUAUAGCAUGAAUAAAUUGAACUCCAGGAAGUGCUCCAAAAGUGGCUGAUAUGACUGACAUCAAGAAUGCUUCAUGGCAGAUUUCUCUUUGCUUCCCCUCCUUGCAUUCCAGAUUUGCUUAUGACAAAGGACUUCAAAGCUUCGGUUCUUCAUGUUUCUGAGCUUUCCAUUGCUUUGCCAUAGAUUCCAAAUAACUCUCCUUAAUCUCGGAUUGCUUUGGUGAUAAAAAUCUAUCAAAACACCAAAACUUAACACAAAUUNNNNNNNNNNNNNNNNNNNNNNNNNNNNNNNNNNNNNNNNNNNNNNNNNNNNNNNNNNNNNNNNNNNNNNNNNNNNNNNNNNNNNNNNNNNNNNNNNNNNUUUUUGCGCAUGCUUUAAUCAUCAAUAAAUGGAACUCCAAUGAGAAAGGUAUAAGGAAUGAACAAACUUUCUCAGACCACUGAUGAAUACAUGAACCCCAACCCACGAGACAACCUCUCAGACUAAAAUCUCCGAAUCAAUGCCAAAUAAUGGGAUGGAUGGAGUGAUAUGACUGCCCUCUUUUGCACCAAGAUGUGAAGAAUCAUCAACCCAAGAAAUAGAAUAGAUAAGACGAAGCAAAUAAUGAUAAAUGCAAGAAAGAGAAUGAAAAUGUAAUGAUAGUGAAAUAGAACAAAUGAGGCGAUAAGGGGACAGUAACAAAAAUGAGAAGAUAAGCCUAUAAGUUUAAAGCUCAUGAGACUUUCCUAGCAAAGCAUGCAUAUACAUCAAAGGGCCCCAACCCGGGUGUAGAAAUGGUAAUCAAAGCUAUAAGAAAGAAAUAAGGCUAUAAUAUACCACGUGAGGCUCAAUGGGCUAGCAACGGUUUAAUAUAUCAAUAAAAGUGAUAAGAUGUAAGGCUAACCGAAAUGAUGGCCAUCCAUCCUGCGACCAUGGUCUCAAAUGUAAUACUUCUUCAACUAAUCCACAUUGGUGGGGUUUGAGAACUGGUCUCUAUCCAGAUACGUCAAUCAUAUUUCCUCUCUGGGGUAAACUCUCUAAUGACAAGUGGUGUACUCCAAGUAAGUCCCUAGGGUCUCCUAGAAUAGAUGAAUCUCCAUGACCAUAACCGGGCUAAUAUCGUCCUCAAACAUAUCAUCAACAUAAGCGGGAUGCCCCAACAUAAAUAAACUGAAUCUCUUCUAAACUCUCAACAAUGAAGAUCUCAAGCAUAUCAAGAGAGUGAACUAUCUCUGGCCAAUCUGUGCCAAGCAUCCAACUAUCAUCCAAUACGUCCAUCUCAUGCUCGUCAUGAAGAAAAUCAUGUCAAUCAAAUCUCCCAUAUGAGAAAAACUAACGUCCUCUAUAAGAACUCUCAUCUGAUAAACUUUGACUCAUAAUCCACUAAACUCAUCAUAUGUAUGAAGUCACCCUCAACAAUGUCACUGGCUAACUGGGUGGUGAGGGUGGGUGGUAAUGAAUCAUACGACAUCUCAUCCUGAACUGGAUGCUAUCUAUCUCACUAUCCAUUAAUCAUCUGGCUCAAACCUGCUAAUGUCUCUUGAAUAGAGUCAUGGUGACUGUAAUUCGAUCAACUAUAACAUGUUGAAGAUCCUGAUUCGUGCCCNNNNNNNNNNNNNNNNNNNNNNNNNNNNNNNNNNNNNNNNNNNNNNNNNNNNNNNNNNNNNNNNNNNNNNNNNNNNNNNNNNNNNNNNNNNNNNNNNNNNCGCACACCGUUUGAAGCAUUGGAUUGUUGACUUCCUGAGCUUCGAAAUGAAAUAUAGCAUGAAUAAAUUGAACUCCAGGAAGUGCUCCAAAAGUGGCUGAUAUGACUGACAUCAAGAAUGCUUCAUGGCAGAUUUCUCUUUGCUUCCCCUCCUUGCAUUCCAGAUUUGCUUAUGACAAAGGACUUCAAAGCUUCGGUUCUUCAUGUUUCUGAGCUUUCCAUUGCUUUGCCAUAGAUUCCAAAUAACUCUCCUUAAUCUCGGAUUGCUUUGGUGAUAAAAAAUCUAUCAAAACACCAAAACUUAACACAAAUUGAUUAGAAGUGCUUGCAAAGGUCCUUAAUAUGUUAAUUGGGUUAAAAGGCAAUAACUACUACUCAAAAGUGUUUAAAAGAGUUAAUUACAAGCUAUGAAAUAACACUUUUUGAGUAGUAAUCAGAUCCAUACCUGACUGCUUUGAAACCCUGAUUAAUUUAUCUCCAACUCUGAUCUAAGAAGUCGAAUCUAAACUGAAGCGAAUAACCCUCCUAUAAGGUACAAAGGCACGAAAAGAUAAAUGACAUGAAGGAAACUCAGAAAAGGUGGAGACACACUAAUCACAAUGCAGAAAAGGUGGCCCAACUGAAACUCAAACAUGUACCAAUCUCUAAGCACACCAAAAAGAGACCAUGAAGAGGAUAACUGAACCCAAUUAUGACCAAGACAGCUCUAAAGGUCCACAGAUGCACCCACGUGUAGGAGUGAAUUCUUAAUUGGGUCUAGGUUAGCCUACAAUGUUAAGGUGGCUCUAUAGGAUAAAAUGGGUGGGUUAAAGGAUCCCUAGCAGAAGCGAUCGUACCCUUCGAUGGUACGCAACCCUCUGCACGCCUCCAAGGAGACGGGGUGCUUCCAUGCAAGGUGGUCAUUACCUCCACACAUACACUUCCUCGCGUUCCCAGGGGGUUUCCUAAAAGGAAAGACUCUCCCAUCUCUCAACACUCAGGGAUAAUCUAAAGUGCACAAUGAAGGAUGUGGGUGCAUCCGAAAAAAAACUAAGAUCUAAAGUGAGAUAGUGAACAAAGACAAGCAAUCAUACAAUCAUGCAAGAUAAAGGGUUGUCAUGCAACAAGCAGUCAUGCAAAGCGGAUAUGUAUCAUACAAACAAGGUCCUAUCUAGCAUAUGCGAGAGUGAAUCAUGAUGAAGUGAGCAAAAUAGUCAAGUGAUCAUCCAAGGUAAUCAAUCAUGUUAGGAUAGCAAACCAAACAAGCAAGCAAAUCAAAUCAUCUUGCCUAAAAAAAAAAAAAGAGGUACCCAUUAAUCGACCAAUUAAACACCACAUUUUCCUCAACUAGUGUUCAAGUUUGAUCCUCAAAAUCCCCAGUGGAGUCGCCAAUUUGUGGACCCGCAUUUUUCACGUGCGUCCCCACUCGAUCGACGAGACUCUUUUUAUUUGUGAAAAAAUAUUUAGUUUUGGAAAAAAGUUGGAGUCGACCCUUAUUUUAUUUUUAUUUUAAAGGAAAAAUAAAACAAGAAACAAAAACCCUAAAAUGUGACUCCAUAAUUUUUGGAAAAAGCAUGCCUUUGAAAAACCCGAGUCUAGGUCCAGGGAUUAGGUUACUUAUUAGGAAGGUACCUUUAAAAGGUAGCACCCCUCUAAGCCCUACAAAAGUCUCUACUGACUAAGUUAAGGGAAGUGUGACAAUUAAUCAGUUAAUUAUAGAUACCUAAAUAGGCUAGGUGAUUUUAAAUAUUGCAUGCCUAACAAGAAAACAAACCAUAAGAGAGAGUCGAAGUGCGUACCUGAACGACUUCUCAAAGCGCUAUCAUAAAACAUGAAAGUUAGUGUAGGAAUCUAUCACACAACAUAUGUCUUAUCCGGGCAAAUCUAAUAUAUAUUUAAACACCCAAGAAUCACAUCAUGCAUGGAUGUAGUCACCAAUAACGUACGUGUCUAUAGAAUUCUCGAAAAAAAAAAUGAGAAGGAGCGUACCUGGAUAGCAAGCUAAAGCGCCUUUAUGGGAAGCAAGGUUAGCCCAAUAACAAAUAUAAAACAAAUUCAAGCAUAUCUCCAAGAGGAAUCAAGAUCAAUUAAAUACCAAACAAUCAUCUUUAAAAUCAAUAAUAGUGAAAAUAUCAAGAAUGUAGGACCCCCCACCAAAGUCCAUAUUAUUUUUGCACGAAUUGAUUCAAUGAAUUCCAUUGUUUGGAAUCAUGAAGUUUGUUCAUGCUUGUUGAAAAUCGAGAAAAAUCAAGAAAAUCGGUUGAAAAUCAAAUAAAAUAGUGAAAAUGCAUGCCAGAAGGAAAAUGGUAGUAAGAGUGUGUUAGAAUAUGGAUUUUAUACCUAAAAAGGACCUAAGAUGAAUUUUUCAAAGCCAGGAAUGUUUAGUUGAACAAUGGUUCAAAAAUUCAAUUUAAAACAAUAAGUUCCCAAUCAAAAAAGCAAACAGAGGAGAAGGUGUGUAUAGCAAGGUUGCUGUCAGCCCCUUAGCCACUUGAUUCAGACCCGGAGAAAUAAGUAUCAUGGGUAGGCCUUGCACCCAUGAGAGCCUAGGCGGAAAGCAAGGAAAGCCUGGAGGUUUGGUGGUUCAAACCCUAGGAGCUAAGUGUGGGGAUCGCGGACAAGUCAAGCACGCACUCCGGAUAGGCGUUACCAAGGAUCCGGACAUGUCUGCCCGGGGAAGUUGAAUCGUCCUCAUCUCCUAUCCGGCGACAGGGUUUCGAAUGUGAGAUAUCCUGGUGGAUGGAAUGUCAGUGGACAGGAUUUCGGAUGUGAGAUAUCCGAGUGGAUGGAAUGUCAGUGGACAGGAUUCCGGAUGUGAGAUAUCCGGGUGGAUGGAAUGUCAACGGACAGGAUUCCGGAUGUGAGAUAUCCGGGUAGAUGGAAUGUCGGCAAACAGGAUUCCGGAUGUAAGAUAUCUGGGUGGAUGGAAUGUCGGGGGAUUGGAUUCCGGAUGUGAUAUAUUCGGGUGGAUGGAGUGUCGGCGGACUGGAUUCCGGAUGUGAUAUAUCCGGGUGGAAUGAGUUGUGAUUCUCGUCCGGGUGGAAUGAGGUAUGCCACGCGUCGAAAGGAAGGCGGUCUGCGCGGCCAAGAGAGAGGGAGCCACGUGGCAAUUUUUGGGGAGGAUCCCACAUGUUUAACCCCAAGAAAACCCGUUUUACACAACCUUUAUCAAGUUCCCACCUUUCUCGGAAUGCGCAUGGUCUCCAUAUCCGAGAAUACUAAGGUAAAGGGGAAGAAACGUAGAUACAGAAGCACACAAAAAGGCCAAGAAAGAAAAGAAAGAAAAGAAAGGAAAACAGGGGAAAAGAAGACAGUCGGUGGGUAUUUUGAAGCCAGAUUGGGACAUAAAUGGGGGCAAGACCCAUUCAAAGGUAAACCUAUAUUCAGAUUGCUUUUAGAUGGAACCAAAGACAUUAAAAAGAAUAUUAAAAUAGCAUAAACAUGCAAGCAAACCAGUCUCAACUAAUCAAAUUGUGGCUCUUGUGUCCACACCAAACGAUAAGAAUGAAUCUUCAGAAAACUAAGAAGUCAGGAAAUGUUGAAACUAAAUGGUGAUAUAGCAAAAAUCUGGAAACAUACCUGCACGUUCUCCUCUACAAUUGCUUGGUUCCAGGCUGCUGCACCUUUUCCCGACUGAGAAAUCUGCUCCCCAAUCCUUUUUCUGUCCACCAAUCUUCUCCCUCUCUAUACGUGUUCCAAGUCCCUCUCUUCUAUGCCUCUCUUCAAGACGAUCCUCUCAUGCUUCCUCUUUUCCUUUUCUCCUUAUAUUCGUAUCAGCCUCUCAAACUCAAUCUGCUCAAGAGAAUCCCCUUUCCUUUCUUCUAUUUUCCUUCCUUUUUCAAAAAUCAGAAUGUUCAUCUCCUCUCACGCAGGAUCUUCUCUUUCCAUAUGUAUGCAACCACAUUAAUUCCUUUUUCCUCACAAAAUAUUUCUCUUAACUUUUUGAGUGCACAUACCUUAGUGAGAGUUGAACAGCAGCCCCUAUUCUCUUAUCAAACAAUAAAAAAAUGAAAAAUAGAGAGAAUAAAAACAAAAAAGGGUUAGCAAUCUUGCAACCUAUCAAAGAUUAAAAUAAAAUAAAAAUAAAUAAAGUAUAACAAAAUAAUUGAGUAAAAUAGUCAAUCCUAUGCGGGCCAUGCAAGUCACACAAAAAGUGAGUCUAAAAGUGCCUACUGGGCCAAGCGUGUCCAAAUGGGCCUAGAGCGGGGCCUAAUGGGCCAAGUGUACUAAAAGCUAUCCUAAAAAUGAACGAAAAAAAACCUAAGCCUAAAUUAGGGCUGCCAAGAGUCGUAAUAAGGGGUCAGAUAAUCCCUCAACCAAAGUCUCCGAGGUGACUCAGAAAAAGGUAAGUCGUAUGAGUAGUAAUGGGCCACCAAGGAACUAUUUUGAAGCACUGAAAACAAACUUAAAAGUCAUGUGCUAAAGGGACAAAAUUGAGGGUCUACAGUUGAAUCAGAUCUAAACAUCAAAGAGGCGACUCCCAAAAGAAGAAGCAUGACGAUAUCUAAAUAUCAACUAGAUCUCAAACACCUGUCCAAGUGACCCUUGAAAAUCAAUAUAUAUACUCAAUGAUAGAAAAUAAUACACACAUGCACCUUUUUUUUUCAUUUUUUUUUUUUACAUAUAUAGAAAUGUACACACCUUGAACAUGAACAAAAUAAGCCUCCAAAAAUGAUAUCAAUAAUGGAUAGACACGCUCUCGAGCGCUAAAGUAACAAAAACUCUCCCUGACAAGAUGACUUUCUCAAACUAAGAAUCUCUGAACCAAUGUUUAUGGGAUAGAUAAUGGUAAUGAUGUGACUACCCUCCAUGUAAUGAACUGAGGAGGGUCAUCACUCAGGGUGGAAAGAAUAUGAAGCAAAACAAGCAGUAGAUAGAAUAAAGAAAAAGAGAUGAAGAAUACAACCAAUGAGAUACGAUGGAAUGCAGUGAUGUAGUGAUGAGAAAAGAUAAUAAGAAGAAUGCGCCUCUAGGUCCAAGGCUCAUGGAACUCCCAAACAAUGAAUGCAUACACUAAAGGACCCCUAUCCCGGUGUGAAAAUGUGUGCAAGACGAUAAGAAAGAAAGGUUAUAAUGUGUGUGCGAGGCUCAAUGGGCUAGCAAUGGACUAUAUAUUAAAAGGGCGAAAGCGUAUAUGGCUAACCAAAAUGAUGGUCACCCAUCCUGCGACCAUGGUCUCAAACAUAGUACCUUUUUAGCUGAUCCACAUUGGUCGGCUCCGAGAAUCGGUUUCCAUCUAGAUCCAUCAACCAUGCAGAGCCCUCUGGGGUUAACUCCCUAAUGAAAUAAGGUCCGCUCUAGUUGGGUCUAAACUUCCCUCUAGGAUCUCUAAUCAAUCCUCUGAUGACUCUCAAGACUAAGUCACCUAUUUAUAGUGGUCUAGGCUUGACCAGCUUUUUGAAAGCACGAGCCAUCUUCCAUUGAUAUGCAUGAACAUGAUCUGCUGCUCUCAAUCUCCUCUCAUAUAGGAGAUUGAGCUGAUCUAAUCGAGCUUGAACCCAAUCUGCCUCUGGAAUCUGCUGCUCUAAUGUUACUCUCAAUGAGCCCAUCUCAAUCUCAACUGGUAACACUACCUCUAUACCAUACACCAAAGAGUAUGGUGUGGCUCCUGUAGAUGUGCAAAAAGAAGUCCGAUAAGCCCACAAUGCAAAAGGAAGCUUCUCUGACCAAUCUUGAGAAGUCUCAACCAUCCUCCGCAAGAUCCUCUUGAUAUUCUUAUUCAUUGCCUCUACUGCCCCAUUUGCCUACGGGCUGUACGCAGACGACCUAUGAUGUCGGAUUCCAUAUCAUUAUACUAAGGUGUCAAUCUCUGCUCUGAAAUAUACCCCCCUAUCCAAGAUCAACUCAUGAGGGACUCUAUAGCAACAGAUAAUGUGUGAUCUGAUGAAACCAACAACUCCAGUCGAUGUCAAUCUCGCGUAUGAAGCAGCCUCCACCCACUUGGUGAAAUAAUCAAUGGCAACCAAGAUGAACUCAUGACCAUUGGAAGAUUUCGACGAAAUCUUCCCGAUGAUGUCGAUGCCGCAUACUGAAAAUGGUCAUGGUGAAGUCAAGCAUGUAACUCCGAGGGUGGCACGUAGAUGAGGUCCCCAUGUAUCUGACACUCUGGACAUCUCUAAACAAA